rnacentral:ncRNA from 1 species
UAGUCCAUUGUCUUUUCCUGGUAGCAUCAAAUUCCAGUGAAGCUUUUAUUCAGAACGUCUUUUGUUUCUUCUUGGAGUCGGGUUGCUUGGGAAUGCAACCCAAAGCUGGUGGUAAACUCCAUCUAAGGCUAAAUACUGGCACGAGACCGACAGUCAACAAGUACCGUAAGG